rnacentral:rRNA from 1 species
GUCUCAACCAACGAGAUCCGCGCCGUCGCUAACGCAUUAAGUGCCCCGCGUGGGGAGUACGGUCGCAAGACUAAAACUCAAAGGAAUUGACGGGGACCCGCACAAGCGGUGGAUGAUGUGGAUUAAUUCGAUGCAACGCGAAAAACCUUACCUACCCUUGACAUGUACGGAACCCUGCUGAAAGGUGGGGGUGCUCGAAAGAGAACCGUAACACAGGUGCUGCAUGGCUGUCGUCAGCUCGUGUCGUGAGAUGUUGGGUUAAGUCCCGCAACGAGCGCAACCCUUGUCAUUAGUUGCUACGAAAGGGCACUCUAAUGAGACUGCCGGUGACAAACCGGAGGAAGGUGGGGAUGACGUCAAGUCCUCAUGGCCCUUAUGGGUAGGGCUUCACACGUCAUACAAUGGUACAUACAGAGGGCUGCCAACCCGCGAGGGGGAGCUAAUCCCAGAAAGUGUAUCGUAGUCCGGAUUGUAGUCUGCAACUCGACUACAUGAAGUUGGAAUCGCUAGUAAUCGCGGAUCAGCAUGUCGCGGUGAAUACGUUCCCGGGUCUUGUACACACCGCCCGUCACACCAUGGGAGCGGGUUUCACCAGAAGUGAGUAGCCUAACCGCAAGGAGGGCGCUUACCACGGUGGGAUUCGUGACUGGGGUGAAGUCGUAACAAGGUAACCAAGGG